AUUUCUUGUUCUCUUAUGUCAUAUACAGGUCUUCUAGGUUUAGCCGAAGGGCGCCUCCAAAACUACUAUUUUCUCCUGGACUUGAUAUAAGAUCUAGCUGUGUACAAAUUAUCCAACUUUUGCACUCUCUGAUAGUUUUGGCUGUUGCAGUUUUCCCAGAGAUCAGGCAUCAUGACAAUAGCGCAAUUCUCCCAUUUGGGCUUUGGAUUCUUUGUUUUGUUUUCUUAUCCACUUUAUUUUCUUUUGUUGUUCUACAGAGACGGCUGGGUGAGGUUUCUUUGCUGGGAAACUGACCGAAGGAUGUUGAGAAGACAUUUGAUGGAGGGUCAGAGUAUUGCAUUGAUGCUGUCUCUGUUGGAAAUUUUUCGAGGUUUAUUAAUCAUAGGGCCUAGGNNN
rnacentral:lncRNA from 1 species